UAAGGAACUUGCCUCUUGGUCUGGGACAACUGUUGGAAACGACAGCUAAUACCAGAUAUUAUGAGAUUCUCGCAUGAGAAACUUAUGAAAGCUAUAUGCGCCAAGAGAGAGCCUUGCGUUCCAUUAGCUAGUUGGUGGGGUAACGGCCCACCAAGGCGACGAUGGAUAGCCGGCCUGAGAGGGUGAACGGCCACAAGGGGACUGAGACACGGCCCUUACUCCUACGGGAGGCAGCAGUGGGGAAUAUUGGACAAUGGGCCACAAGCCUGAUCCAGCAAUUCUGUGUGCACGAUGAAGGUCUUCGGAUUGUAAAGUGCUUUCAGUUGGGAAGAAGAAAGUGACGGUACCAACAGAAGAAGCGACGGCUAAAUACGUGCCAGCAGCCGCGGUAAUACGUAUGUCGCAAGCGUUAUCCGGAUUUAUUGGGCGUAAAGCGCGUCUAGGCGGAAAAAUAAGUCUGAUGUUAAAAUGCGGGGCUCAACUCCGUAUUGCGUUGGAAACUGUUUUUCUAGAGUACUGGAGAGGUGGGCGGAACUACAAGUGUAGAGGUGAAAUUCGUAGAUAUUUGUAGGAAUGCCGAUGGAGAAGUCAGCUCACUGGACAGAUACUGACGCUAAAGCGCGAAAGCGUGGGGAGCAAACAGGAUUAGAUACCCUGGUAGUCCACGCCGUAAACGAUGAUCACUAGGUGUUGGGGGU
rnacentral:rRNA from 1 species